rnacentral:rRNA from 1 species
AGCACCUCAAGUGGUCAGGAGGAUUAUUGGGCCUAAAGCAUCCGUAGCCGGCUAUGUUAGUUUUCGGUUAAAUCCAUGUGCUCAACACAUGGGCUGUCGAGAAUACUGCAUAGCUAGGGAGUGGGAGAGGUAGACGGUACUCGGUAGGAAGGGGUAAAAUCCUUUGAUCUAUCGAUGACCACCAGUGGCGAAGGCGGUCUACCAGAACACGUCCGACGGUGAGGGAUGAAAGCUGGGGGAGCAAACCGG